AACUCUGGCUUAUACCAUAACACCUUCUCUCACAAAAAUGCCAUAGAAGGGAUAGUUUAAUGGCGCUGGAGGAGACUGACUCUCAAAAAGGGGAGCCUGUUUAAAAUGCGUCCCUCGUUUUGUGUGAAUCUGCAAAUCGUUCUGUCCCUUGUGGGCAGGAUGGUGUGCAAGUUUGCAUAUGUGGGGGAGGUUUCGCUUAGGGCUUACACUUGAUCAUGUUGUGUUUAUGUAUCUGUGGAUGUGGAUGUGGAUGUGGAUGUAUGUUGGUGCUUUGAAAAGAGGAUUGAGAGU